GGUUAAGCGACUAAGCGUACACGGUGGAUGCCCUGGCAGUCAGAGGCGAUGAAGGACGUGCUAAUCUGCGAUAAGCGUCGGUAAGGUGAUAUGAACCGUUAUAACCGGCGAUUUCCGAAUGGGGAAACCCAGUGUGAUUCGUCACACUAUCAUUAACUGAAUCCAUAGGUUAAUGAGGCGAACCGGGGGAACUGAAACAUCUAAGUACCCCGAGGAAAAGAAAUCAACCGAGAUUCCCCCAGUAGCGGCGAGCGAACGGGGAGCAGCCCAGAGCCUGAAUCAGUGUGUGUGUUAGUGGAAGCGUCUGGAAAGGCGCGCGAUACAGGGUGACAGCCCCGUACACAAAAAUGCACAUACUGUGAGCUCGAUGAGUAGGGCGGGACACGUGGUAUCCUGUCUGAAUAUGGGGGGACCAUCCUCCAAGGCUAAAUACUCCUGACUGACCGAUAGUGAACCAGUACCGUGAGGGAAAGGCGAAAAGAACCCCGGCGAGGGGAGUGAAAAAGAACCUGAAACCGUGUACGUACAAGCAGUGGGAGCACGCUUAGGCGUGUGACUGCGUACCUUUUGUAUAAUGGGUCAGCGACUUAUAUUCUGUAGCAAGGUUAACCGAAUAGGGGAGCCGAAGGGAAACCGAGUCUUAACUGGGCGUUAAGUUGCAGGGUAUAGACCCGAAACCCGGUGAUCUAGCCAUGGGCAGGUUGAAGGUUGGGUAACACUAACUGGAGGACCGAACCGACUAAUGUUGAAAAAUUAGCGGAUGACUUGUGGCUGGGGGUGAAAGGCCAAUCAAACCGGGAGAUAGCUGGUUCUCCCCGAAAGCUAUUUAGGUAGCGCCUCGUGAAUUCAUCUCCGGGGGUAGAGCACUGUUUCGGCAAGGGGGUCAUCCCGACUUACCAACCCGAUGCAAACUGCGAAUACCGGAGAAUGUUAUCACGGGAGACACACGGCGGGUGCUAACGUCCGUCGUGAAGAGGGAAACAACCCAGACCGCCAGCUAAGGUCCCAAAGUCAUGGUUAAGUGGGAAACGAUGUGGGAAGGCCCAGACAGCCAGGAUGUUGGCUUAGAAGCAGCCAUCAUUUAAAGAAAGCGUAAUAGCUCACUGGUCGAGUCGGCCUGCGCGGAAGAUGUAACGGGGCUAAACCAUGCACCGA
rnacentral:rRNA from 1 species